rnacentral:rRNA from 1 species
GAUGAACGCUGGCGGCGUGCCUAAUACAUGCAAGUCGAGCGAACAGACGAGGAGCUUGCUCCUCUGACGUUAGCGGCGGACGGGUGAGUAGCACGUGGAUAACCUACCUAUAAGACUGGGAUAACUUCGGGAAACCGGAGCUAAUACCGGAUAAUAUAUUGAACCGCAUGGUUCAAUAGUGAAAGACGGUUUUGCUGUCACUUAUAGAUGGAUCCGCGCCGCAUUAGCUAGUUGGUAAGGUAACGGCUUACCAAGGCAACGAUGCGUAGCCGACCUGAGAGGGUGAUCGGCCACACUGGAACUGAGACGCGGUCCAGACUCCUACGGGAGGCAGCAGUAGGGAAUCUUCCGCAAUGGGCGAAAGCUUGACGGAGCAACGCCGCGUGAGUGAUGAAGGUCUUCGGAUCGUAAAACUCUGUUAUUAGGGAAGAACAAAUGUGUAAGUAACUAUGCACGUCUUGACGGUACCUAAUCAGAAAGCCACGGCUAACUACGUG